GUCCUUGUGGAGUAAAGUAACUCACUCCUGCCAAAUGCUUCGAGUAUAGCUGGAUAUUUUACAGGGGAGCGUCGGUGGUUCGAAUCCGCCCAAAGACA